rnacentral:pre_miRNA from 1 species
AUGCAGGGCAGUCUGUCUUUAACUAAGGAUAAAUCACUCUAAAAAAAAAAAAAAGAAUCCUAUAUAGUUUUCCCUUUAAGUCAAGUGUCUUGC